rnacentral:rRNA from 1 species
GGGGGGCAGCAGUGGGGAAUAUUGGACAAUGGGCGCAAGCCUGAUCCAGCCAUGCCGCGUGAGUGAUGAAGGCCCUAGGGUUGUAAAGCUCUUUCACCGAUGAAGAUAAUGACGGUAGUCGGAGAAGAAGCCCCGGCUAACUUCGUGCCAGCAGCCGCGGUAAUACGAAGGGGGCUAGCGUUGUUCGGAAUUACUGGGCGUAAAGCGCACGUAGGCGGAUAUUUAAGUCAGGGGUGAAAUCCCAGAGCUCAACUCUGGAACUGCCUUUGAUACUGGGUAUCUCGAGUAUGGAAGAGGUGAGUGGAAUUCCGAGUGUAGAGGUGAAAUUCGUAGAUAUUCGGAGGAACACCAGUGGCGAAGGCGGCUCACUGGUCCAUUACUGACGCUGAGGUGCGAAAGCGUGGGGAGCAAACAGGAUUAGAUACCCUAGUAGUCAU